rnacentral:lncRNA from 1 species
CGGUUACGUGGCGCUCCCUUUCGGUAGGAACUGCAUUUAUCUUUCUCUAUGAUUUUUUGCAAUUUUCUCUGAUUUUUCACCCUCAAAAAAUAAGUCACCGUAUGUACGCUUCAGGAACGACCGUUUCGUUUCCAACAGAUUCUUUUACUCUCUCUGUCUCCUUUCGUCCCUCUAUCCCUGUAUUCAUCCUCCUUUAUUUUUCUAUUUUCCUAUUGUUUUUUCGUUUACCUUUGUUGAAAUUCUCUAUACUCUUUCUCCUCCCCGUUUUUCCUUCUACAUGGCUUCUACUUCAUCUUUGUUGAUUUAGUUUAAUUCAUCAGCUAAUUUCUAAAAUCUUUCCUCACUGCCAUUUCCAAUUUGCGCUUUCAUUUUUAAUUCUGCUCCGUCUGCAACUCACUCCUUCGCCAGCGCCAAACAACUGGCUAACAACUGCUUAUUUUGACGCCCAUGAAGUAUUCGAAAAUAUGCCCCUAUAGGUUGACCUUGCCCACAGAUUCAUAAAAUGCUACAAAUUUAUUCAACAUUUGCCGGUCUGUAAUCUUUUCAAAGUUAAUCUUUAUCAACUAUGCCUCAUUUGGAUAUAUUUUCAGCAUUUUAAAUGAUAGACCCUUUUAACAAUUCAGGUGAUCACGUCAUUUAUUUUUCUUUUUAGAUUGAUAGAUGGUAGUGCAAAUGAACAAAAUGCUGCGAAAAGAUUCAGCUUGAGCUUUCUCCAUUCGUAUUUGAGGUACGCUCCGAAAAUUCUUAACUACUAUGCUUUUUGCAUAAUUGAUAACCAAGAGUGUAGAGAUUCUAAUACACAUAACUUUUUCAAAAUUAAUAAGUAAGGGUGUGCCUGAUAUGGAGUACGAGAAUUUUGCUUUACUGAUACUGUUAAUAGUAAAAGAAUUCGUCCACGAUGGCUACAAAUGUUGAUUAUAGUUCACUGAUAUGGAGUUUAGACUACAUUAGACUUUUAUUGUAGCCUCAGAUAUUGGUGCUCAAACUCAAGGCAUUGCGAAUUGAUUUUCGAAAUAAGAUCGUCUUGAUGUAGACACUGAGACACAUAACUAAUUAAAAGGUUAAAGAAAAAACAAAGUUUAAGGUCAGAGAGCAUUAGUGGGAGGUUAUAAAAUUAAUAAUACUCCUACAUCACCAAGAACCAAACAAAAUCACUAUUUUUCCUAUUAUACCAUAUGAUACUACCUAUAUCUGUUCUGCUUUACCAAGGUUCUUUACUUAUUUUGAUUACAACAGGUUGUUUUCUUCUCAAGAACACGCACUUGAACUAACUUGAAUUCUGUGAGAAAAUUUGCAAUAAGAAACUUCUAUAAGAAAUUUAAACCUAAAUGCAUGUAGAAUAUUUUGCAUCUAAGAGAAACCUUUUACUUUGCAGAGAACCAAUAACAUCUCCAGAUGAAUAUUAAGGCUAGAAUAUUGGAUAUGUUAAGUAAUACAGAUAAUCACAACACAAUUUUAUGUGGCAUAAAUGAUUGCUUAAUUGCUCUACUGUAAAUUGGUCGUUAUUUAUCCUUAAUCAGUAGUAAAUUUUUCAUGCCAUUUUAACUCAACUUGAUAAAGAUUUAUCAUAUUUGUGUAUAUAGUUUAUUGAUGGGCGAAUAUAAUUAUGGAGGAAGAAAAUAAACUACACUGCCAUCCAUAUCCAUGUAAUACCAAAUUGGAAAAAAAACUGAAGGAAAAACAAACGACGAUUAAGACUCACCAACGGUUGUAGCAGCGAUGAAGAGGUGAGCGAAGGUAGUGAAAAUACUAAAUCAACAUCACAGAAAUAGUGCUUGAAAUAAGAGAGGAAAAGAAAAGCAGAAAAGCCAGAGAAGAAGAUGCUCACAAAAGCGCACAUAUGAGGCGAUAUAAGCAGAGUUAAGUGCAAUCAGUCAUUAUUAACUGUUAUGGAAGAUUUUUUAAUUUAAUAGUGAUGACGAAUGACCAUUGGACUUAUUUUUAUGUCUAUAAAUGUUGAUUAUAGUUUACUGAUAUUGAGUUUAGACUAUAUUAGAUUUUUAUUGUAACCUCAAAUGUUAAUAUUGCAUAGAUUCUGUUACUUCUUACUUUCAUUUGGUUAUACAUAAUUCUUGCUAUAUUAGUAUUAUUAUACCAUGAUCCUUUAUUGGAAAACCCAAAAGCCUCAUUAACUUUGAUUGUUUCUUGGUGAUAUUUAAAUGAAUCUUCCGCUCAUUCAUUCAUCUUCUUAAAGUCUGAAUGUGUGAUGUUCAAUCUGUCAUUUUGUUGACAGGUUGGAUUAUCUUCUCGCCUGACUAAGUACCUCACAUGUGAUGUUGCAACUCUUUAAGAUGCUGUCAUUCGGGUAGUCAUUGCUUUGGCUUAAGAUUUUGUUUCAGCCGCAAAUACGUUUAAUCUUUUGUUAGGUAAUUUAGCAAAUAUUAGUUUUCCUUUUUCCUGGCUGAGUUUGCUAUCACUCUACUUUUGACUUGUUGGAAGCUUAUUUACGUGGUAGUGACUUCAGUUUCCAGAUUAUGUCCAUUACUUCAUGGAAAACUUGCAAAAAGUUGUCUGACAUAAAUUACAUCUGGAUUAAGGCAUGAAAAAGAUGUUGAAUUGUGUUUUUCUUGGGUCUUAUAUAUCGAUUCUAUGUAAAUUAAAAUCUACAACACUCUUUUCUAAUGGAAUUAAAAAAAAUAUACUUGUUUUGUGUAUUGUGUAGAAUAUUUAACUAGAAGGAUGUCGGACAUUUGCACCACUCUAUUGGGGAAUGAGGCCGAUAAUGUGCUUAGUUGUAUGGUUCUCCCUGAUAAUUGAGUACCACCAAUAUAACACUACACAUUGUUUAAUUGCCACGAGGUGAUUGUAUUUGUCUUCUCGAGUUACCCUUCCGUUAUGCCAUUUUAUUCCCUAAUGAGAAUUGCGGUCAUUUAGAUUAUAGAAGUAGAGCUUCACGAAAUUAUCAUGGAUGCUUAUGGGAAACCUAGGAUCUUCCUCCCUUGAGUUUUAGUUGUUGGCUAUGAAAUUUUUGUAUAUAAGGGAAGUCAGUAAUGUUCACAUUAUCUUUACAUGUGGAUAGAACUUAAAAAAUUAGUGAAUAAUCUAUAUACAAAUAUAAAGCUAAAAAAAUAAAAUCUGAUGUGGAACCUCCCCGUGCUCAGGGAUGUACUAUUUAUCUCUUUUCUCCCUUUUUGGAAAUUUUCACGUUUGCAAGAUUCUUAAAAAACCUACAAAAAGAAAAAACAUGUCGCUUCUGAAUUACUGUAUAAUUUUUUUUCAUGUUUAUUCGGUUUGGUGAUUUAUACACAGUUUCUUGCCUUGGUGCAGUUUAUGCAAUAGAGCAGAGAUGAGCAACUUCGUCAAGGUUGGAUUUCCCUUUGGAUCAGUAGAUCAGUAUGUGUUUUCCUCAACUCUCAGUAUAUUUUUUCUCUACAUUAUUACCUCCACUUUAGUUGUAAAAAAAUAAAUUGUCCUCUCUAAGCUUUCAAAUUAAUAUAGUAAAAUCUAUCCUGAAACGCAAAUUUGGUUCCUUACUUCUUUGAUGAAAAUCAAAAUAAAUAUGUUAGGAAUUAUGUUAAGAUAUGUUUUCAUAACGAUUUUAGAAGAUCUUUAGUUUUGCAAAUUGUCUUGCACUAAAUACAACUAUUACAUGCAUUACCUCUAAAAUUUGACUCGGAUGACUGGAUUGAUUUACUGGUUGAUAAACAUAUGUAAUUUUCAUGUUUGAUGGUAACGUUAAGCCUCAUUGCAACCACAAAACAUGUUUCUGAUUCAUUUGUUUAAUCGAGUUUUUACUGUCAGAUGUUUGCAUUGAUUUCCUCUUUUUAGGUAUUAGCAAUCGCUCUUUACGAUCAAGUUUUGGUUCUCUCAGUCAACCAUGGUGAGCAACACUAAUCUAUCCAUUUGUGCCUUUUGAUUUCAACUGCUCUUUAAUUUUUAUGAUUGUUGUAUAUCAGUUUUGGUCGCACUUAUUUGUAUAAAGAGAUAAGUUAUCGCUUUGAGGAAAGCUCUUCUCAACCUCAAUGGGUUUCACUUUUCAGGACAAAGAUCUCUGAUGUAUCUUAAUAAUGGAUUGGUGGACUUUAAAACCUUCAGACGGCAUCACCUGACAAUUAUGUGAAGUUUAUGUGAAGUUCAUAGCAGGAAGCUUGAAAUAUGAAAUGUGCGCCUAAAUAAAAUAUGGAGGGACUGUAUAUUGGUGAUUUUAUACAAACGUGUGGGGGCUUUCUAUUAAGCAUAGUCAUGAUUUUUCUAAUUUACCUGUCUAUUCAUCAGAUAAAUACACUUUUUUUUAAUUUAACCAUUAUGUAUGGUCUUGGAUCAUCAAUAAUGAUACAUCUAAUGCCAUUCCCACACUUCAGCUAUUUAUUUGAUACAUUUAAAUCACUUUUCA